rnacentral:tRNA from 1 species
GAACGUAUGGCUUAGUGGUCAGAGCUCUUGGAUGGUAAGCUAGAGGCGCGAGCUCAAGUCCCGAUACAUUAA